rnacentral:rRNA from 1 species
UACGUAGGCAGCAAGCGUUGUUCGGAUUUACUGGGCGUAAAGGGCGCGUAGGCGGCGCAACAAGUCACUUGUGAAAUCUCCGGGCUUAACCCGGAGCGGCCAAGUGAUACUGUCGUGCUAGAGUGCGGAAGGGGCUACUGGAAUUCUCGGUGUAGCGGUGAAAUGCGUAGAUAUCGAGAGGAACACCUGCGGCGAAGGCGGGUAGCUGGGCCGACACUGACGCUGAUGCGCGAAAGCCAGGGGAGCGAACGGG